rnacentral:rRNA from 1 species
UGAAACUUAAAUAGCCGCAAUACGUGCUAAGGUAGUAAAAUAAUUUGUCUUAUAAUUGAAGACCAAUCAAAAGAUUUAACAUUUUAAUUAAUAUAAAAUUUUAUAUAUAUAAAUUAUUUCAAUUAUAAUAAAAUAAUUAUUUUAUAAAAAGACGACAAGACCCUAUUAAACUUUACUUUAGUUAAACUGGGGUAGUUAAUUAAACAUAUUUUAAUAUAAAUAAAAGUAAAUUUGACCUAAUAUUAUUAAUUAUAAAAACAAGUUACUAUAGGGAUAACAGCGUAAUUUUUUUCUGAAGUACUUAUAGAAAAAAAAGAUUGCGACCUCGAUGUUGAAUUAAUAUUCUAUUUUAUGUAAAAAUAAAUAAAGAGAGUCUGUUCGACUUUUAAACAAUUACAUGAUCUGAGUUC